rnacentral:rRNA from 1 species
CCUACGGGUGGCAGCAGUGAGGAAUAUUGGUCAAUGGGCGCGAGCCUGAACCAGCCAAGUCGCGUGAGGGAUGACGGUCCUACGGAUUGUAAACCUCUUUUGCCGGGGAGCAAGCGUGCGUUCGUGAACGCACGUCGAGAGUACCCGGAGAAAAAGCAUCGGCUAACUCCGUGCCAGCAGCCGCGGUAAUACGGAGGAUCCGAGCGUUAUCCGGAUUUAUUGGGUUUAAAGGGAGCGUAGGUGGAUUGUUAAGUCAGUUGUGAAAGUUUGCGGCUCAACCGUAAAAUUGCAGUUGAAACUGGCAGUCGUGAGUACAGUAGAGGUGGGCGGAAUUCGUGGUGUAGCGGUGAAAUGCUUAGAUAUCACGAAGAACUCCGAUUGCGAAGGCAGUUCACUGGACUGCAACUGACACUGAGGCUCGAAAGUGUGGGUAUCAAACAGGAUUAGAUACCCUUGUAGUC